GAGGGGGGAAUGGAUUCGUAGUCUAAUGGCGUCUGAUCCCCAUUACUGAUCCUUCCCUCUUCUUUUCCCAUGAUGCUCUUAUUCUAGAUCUUCCUCCUCUCUUCGGUCAUCUGGCCCACAAUCAAACUUCCCCACCAUGAGCACCCGUGUCUUGCUCUCCAUCUAUGAUAAGGGGGAGCUCUAUGGCUGGAUCCAAUUAAUUACUAUUCAGAUCUCGAUCAUCAUCAAUCAUGAACUCCAUAAAUCCCUCUGCCUCUCUCACCCUCUCUACUAUCAUUCUAAUGCCCUCAUUAGCGUGAUACCAUCUAGCUCCAC
rnacentral:lncRNA from 1 species